UCUCGGAGGGUUAGCUGCCACGUCUCGUUAUAUGAUCAUGUUGAGGUUCUUGAGUGAGAUAAAGGCAACAAUUGGGUACUGGAGUUAGGAGGGGAUUAGGUUUGACGUUCAUGAGGAUGCUGAUAAUUAGCGCGGGUACAACGUGGCCCGGAAGAAGAUUUUAAGCCAAGGGGACGGUGACGGUGCCGGUGCCGGUGACGGUGCGGUUAAGAAAAGGGAGCCGGGGGCGCGGCGGGCGCACGGGCGGGCCCUACGAGAGGAGGUCCGGCUCUAGGCCCAGGAAGCUCCGCCCCGAGUCCCGCAGGAGCAGGCAAUGUGAGAGGAGGUGGGGGUUCGGCAGGGGAGCCAAGGUGGCGUCGGCGAGGUGGCGGCCGCGGAGGUUCCGCGGGGGGAGGGGCCUCUUUGCAGCGCCGCAGUGGCCGCCGCCUCCGCGCUACGGCUGCGGGUGCGGCCGCGUCGUCGCCCACCGCGUCGACCUCCUUCUCGAGUUCUUCCUCGCCCCACUCUUCCUAGCCCACCACGUCGAACUCCUCCUCGACUCCUGCCUCGCCCUUCUGUUCCGCGCCCGCCACGCCCUCGAGCUGCUCGAGUCCUCCUCCCUACCGCCGCGCCUCUUCCACGUCGAAGACCUCGCCCUCCACCUCUCCCGGUUCCUCAGCCUCGCGUUCUACGAGCUCAGCGAGUAUAUGGUCUGCUUCGUCGACCUCGUCUGGUUCUAGUCGGAGCUCCUCCGGUUCGACCUCUACCGGUGCGACGUCGUCUCGUUGGCCUCGGAGCUCCGGGCCGCGCCGCAGUACCUGGUCGCCUCGCAGUUCCUGGAGUACAAGCCGCCGCGCCUGCUCCUCUAGUCCCGGGACGCGUGGCUGGAGGCCUGCCGGUACGUCCCCCUCCUCUCCUCGGCCUUCCGCGACCUGCUGGACAGGGAGCGCGAGAGGCUGCAGUGGUACCUCCGGUUCGUCCAGUUCGCGACCGAGAGGCUGUGCGUCCGCCUCGACCUCCGGCGGUUACGGCUCCGGCGCGCCGACGCGCCCCUCGACCGGCGGCGGCUCUGCUCCGACGCCCUCGUCGUGGCCACGUCCGAGCUCCGGCUCCUCAGCCGCCGGCGCACCCCGCUGUUCCUCGCGCACAAGGAGCUCACGCACGCGCGCCGGCUCCUCCUCCACUUGGACCGGGCCGUCCUCUUGUGGUUCGACCACCUCAGCGUCGCGCACUAGGCGCUGCUCUUGCGGGCCGAGGCGCUGUAGGAGUUCGUCCGGCAGCCGCUCCGGUUGUAGCAGUUCCUCAGCGACCUCGAGCGGGCCCAGCUCUUGCGCGCCGAGUUGCUGCAGCAGCGGCUCUUCCUCUCGCGCGACGUCUCGGAGGCCGUCCUCAUGCUCACGUAGUUCCAGUCGCUCCGGCGGCGCGUCCCGUCGGAGUUCCUCGAGUUGUCGGACGAGCGGCGGUGCUGCUGCUGCCGCACGUCGUGGGGGCACAGCCGCCGGUGCUGGCGCGGGCACCGCGGCCUCACGCCGAAGCUGGUCGUCGUGGACGGCUUGCCCGCGGAGCAGCGGUCGCGGUUCCCCUGCGGCCUCUGCCGCAGCGCCGCGACCUACCGCCUCUUCGGGUCCUGCGGCUCGCCCGCCUCGAUGAGCUAGCCGCUCGGCCCGUUCAAGUUCCCGCACCCGAUGAGCGUCAGCCGCUCCUACCCCUCGGACUUGGGGUUCCUGGCCUACAAGCGCAGCGAGUCGUUGUACCGUCUGGAGUUCAGGCGCCGCCGCCUGCGCCGGUACCUGCUGAUGCUGCUGCUGCUCAAGCUGGUGUAGCUGCUCUCGGUGAUGCACCCGUACCUCGUGAGGUACUUGCCGUUCUUCUUCGCCGGCUAGGAAGCGUUCAAGCCCCUAGAGAAGUCCUCCUUUUCGAAGAUAUUCCGCUUAAACCGCGGUCACGUGUGAACUUAAAAUCAGUGGGGUACAUUAUCAGCGACAGUGAACAGCCUGACUGUGAAAGAUCCGACUUUCUACUUGUCUAACUGUAAAGUGUACAGACUACAUGUACGACGAAUUUUUCUACCGUAAACUUCCCCUGUGUCACUACGCUAAUCUUCUUCUACGUCGGGGACUGUUCAGAAUCGCACACACACACAAAAAAGGAAAAUGUGCACUCCAAGAUCUUCGUGGUUCCGUUCAGUUUA
rnacentral:rRNA from 1 species